AGGGUUAUCGCCAAGCGGUAAGGCACAGGAUUUUGAUUCCUGCAUUCGGAGGUUCAAAUCCUCCUAGCCCUG
rnacentral:tRNA from 3 species